rnacentral:rRNA from 1 species
AUAUCAAGACCAGGUAAGGUUCUUCGCGUUGCAUCGAAUUAAACCACAUGCUCCACCGCUUGUGCGGGCCCCCGUCAAUUCAUUUGAGUUUUAACCUUGCGGCCGUACUCCCCAGGCGGUCUACUUAUUGCGUUAGCUGCGUCACUAAGUCCUCAAGGGACCCAACGACUAGUAAACAUCGUUUACGGCGUGAACUACCAGGGUAUCUAAUCCUGUUUGCUACCCACGCUUUCGAGCCUCAGUGUCAGUAUUAUGCCAGAAGGCUGCCUUCGCCAUCGGUAUUCCUCCAAAUCUCUACGCAUUUCACCGCUACACCUGGAAUUCUACCUUCCUCUCACAUACUCUAGCUCAACAGUAUCAAAUGCAGUUCCCAGGUUGAGCCCGGGGAUUUCACAUCUGACUUAUCGAGCCACCUACGCUCCCUUUACGCCCAGUAAUUCCGAUUAACGCUUGCACCCUCUGUAUUACCGCGGCUGCUGGCACAGAGUUAGC